rnacentral:sRNA from 1 species
GACUCGAUCACAUAAUCCGCCUCGUCUCUCUACCUCACAUAGCGUCGUCCCGGACGCGUCCUCCCUCCUCAUCGCAUCCACUGCCGCCUCAAACCACUCCUCGCAUCCACCACUACAACCACUUCUCGCAUCCGCAGUCAGCAUCGCCUCCUCCUCCUCACUUCCUCAUGCCAGCUGAUCCGUCGCCACAAGCUCGAGGGCAGGGAAAUCUGCUGCCACAAGCUCCCCGUCUCCUUCUCCCAGUCGAGCGCUGAUGCAAGCUUAAUUAAGGCUAGAUCCGGACUAUAGCGGAUGGGACCACGAUGAUGGAGGCAACAACCAACAACAAGCGACGGCUGAUCUUGAGGAUUUGGGGAUCUUUAGUUUAUUCGGUUCUCUUAUCUGUUAAGGAUUUGGGGAUGUUGUUUUUCCCUUUGAUGCUGCAAUGGAUAGUUAGGUAUUGGGUAGCAGAUGUAUUCUAAUUUGAGUAUUAUUGCAUUAUGCCAAAAAUUUAUGAUUCAUUUUGUGAUUUGUGAUGUUGAUAAUAAUAAUGUGUUUGAUGAAGAAAAAUUUGG